rnacentral:rRNA from 1 species
UACAGAGGGUGCGAGCGUUAAUCGGAUUUACUGGGCGUAAAGGGCGCGUAGGCGGUGAUGUGAGUGUGAUGUGAAAGCCCCGGGCUUAACCUGGGAAGUGCAUCGCAAACGACAUGACUGGAGUAGAUGAGAGGGUGGCGGAAUUUCCGGUGUAGCGGUGAAAUGCGUAGAGAUCGGAAGGAACGUCAAUGGCGAAGGCAGCCACCUGGCAUCAUACUGACGCUGAGGCGCGAAAGCGUGGGGAGCGAACAGGAUUAGAAACCCUGGUAGU